CCUACGGGAGGCAGCAGUGGGGAAUAUUGGACAAUGGGGGCAACCCUGAUCCAGCCAUGCCGCGUGUGUGAAGAAGGCCCUCGGGUUGUAAAGCACUUUCAGUGAGGAAGAACGCCUGGUGGUUAAUACCCAUCAGGAAAGACAUCACUCACAGAAGAAGCACCGGCUAACUCCGUGCCAGCAGCCGCGGUAAUACGGAGGGUGCGAGCGUUAAUCGGAAUUACUGGGCGUAAAGCGCGCGUAGGUGGCUUGAUAAGCCGGUUGUGAAAGCCCCGGGCGCAACCUGGGAACGGCAUCCGGAACUGUCAAGCUAGAGUGCAGGAGAGGAAGGUAGAAUUCCCGGUGUAGCGGUGAAAUGCGUAGAGAUCGGGAGGAAUACCAGUGGCGAAGGCGGCCUUCUGGACUGACACUGACACUGAGGUGCGAAAGCGUGGGUAGCAAACAGGAUUAGAUACCCUGGUAGUC
rnacentral:rRNA from 1 species